rnacentral:rRNA from 1 species
AGCAAACAGGAUUAGAUACCUGGUAGUCCACGCUGUAAACGAUGUCGAUUUGGAGUCUGGGGGCAUGACCCUUGGGCUCCGGAGCUAACGCGUUAAAUCGACCGCUGGGGAGUACGGCCGCAAGGUUAAAACUCAAAUGAAUUGACGGGGGCCCGCACAAGCGGUGGAGCAUGUGGUUUAAUUCGAUGCAACGCGAAGAACCUUACCUGGUCUUGACAUCCAUAGAAUCUUUCAGAGAUGAGAGAGUGCCUUCGGGAGCUAUGAGACAGGUGCUGCAUGGCUGUCGUCAGCUCGUGUUGUGAAAUGUUGGGUUAAGUCCCGCAACGAGCGCAACCCCUAUCCUUUGUUGCCAGCACGUAAUGGUGGGGACUCAAAGGAGACUGCCGUUGAUAAAGCGGAGGAAGGUGGGGACGACGUCAAGUCAUCAUGGCCCUUACGACCAGGGCUACACACGUGCUACAAUGGCGUAUACAAAGGGAUGCGAAGGUGCGAACUGGAGCGGACCUCACAAAGUACGUCUAAGUCCGGAUUGGAGUCUGCAACUCGACUCCAUGAAGUCGGAAUCGCUAGUAAUCGUGAAUCAGAAUGUCACGGUGAAUACGUUCCCGGGCCUUGUACACACCGCCCGUCACACCAUGGGAGUGGGUUGCACCAGAAGUAGAUAGCUUAACCUUCGGGAGGGCGUUUACCACGGUGUGGUUCAUGACUGGGGUGAAGUCGUAACAAGGUAACCA